UACCAGACAAGCUGAGAGGUGGGGCAUGGCCGUCGCCAGCUCGUGCCGUGAGAUGUCCUGUUAAGUCAGGUAACGAGCGAGAUCCCUGCCUCUAGUUGCCACCAUUACUCUCAGGAGUAGUGGGGCGAAUUAGCGGGACCGCCGUAGUUAAUACGGAGGAAGGAAGGGGCCACGGCAGGUCAGUAUGCCCCGAAACUCUGGGGCCACACGCGGGCUGCAAUGGUAACGACAAUGUGUUCCGAAUCCGAAAGGAGGAGGUAAUCCAGAAACGUUACCACAGUUAUGACUGAGGGCUGCAACUCGCCCUCACGAAUAUGGAAUCCCUAGUAACUGCGUGUCGUUAUCGCGCGGUGAAUACGUCCCUGCUCCUUGCACACACCGCCCGUCGUUUCAUUGAAGUUUGCUCUUAGGCGAGGUNACGUCUCAUUGGCGUUAUCGGACUUGA
rnacentral:rRNA from 1 species